CCUACGGGAGGCAGCAGUCGAGAAUCAUUCACAAUGGGGGAAACCCUGAUGGUGCGACGCCGCGUGGGGGAAUGAAGGUCUUCGGAUUGUAAACCCCUUUCAUGUGGGAGCAAAUUAAAAAGAUAGUACCACAAGAGGAAGAGACGGCUAACUCUGUGCCAGCAGCCGCGGUAAUACAGAGGUCUCAAGCGUUGUUCGGAAUCACUGGGCGUAAAGCGUUCGUAGGCUGUUUCGUAAGUCGUGUGUGAAAGGCCCGGGCUCAACCCGCGGACGGCACAUGAUACUGCGAGACUAGAGUAAUGGAGGGGGAAGCGGAAUUCUCGGUGUAGCAGUGAAAUGCGUAGAUAUGGAGAGGAACACUCGUGGCGAAGGCGGGUUCCUGGACAUUAACUGACGCUGAGGCACGAAGGCCAGGGGAGCGAAAGGGAUUAGAUACCCCAGUAGUC
rnacentral:rRNA from 1 species